GCAGAACGUCUACACCAUGGCCAUGACUCCUCUCUUUCUGAUGCUGCUCACUCUCUGCAAAGGGGUCACUUCUCAGGCUGUGGUGACCCAGGAGCCUGCUCUGACUGUGAUCCCAGGAGGAACCGUCACCCUGACCUGCAGCUCCAGCACAGGGGCUGUCACCACUGGGCACUACCCAGCUUGGUUCCAGCAGCAUCAUGGCCGGCCUCCCAGGCGACUCAUCUAUAACACCAACAAUCUGGCAUCAGGGGUCCCUGCUCGGUUCUCGGGGUCCCUCCUUGGGACCAAAGCUGCCCUCACCAUCACGGGGGCCCAGGCUGAGGACGAGGCUGACUAUUACUGUAUCUUGUAUUACAGUGGUCCUUAG